UUGUUUGCGCAGGAUAGGUGGAAGGCGUUGAAAAUUUUCUUGCGGGAAGAUUGGAGCCGUUGGUGAGAUACCACUCUAACAAUGCUAGGAUUCUAACCCUACACCGUUAUCCGGUUAGGGGACAGUUUCAGGUGGUCAGUUUGACUGGGGCGGUCGCCUCCCAAAAGGUAACGGAGGCGUGCAAAGGUUUCCUCAGGCUGGUCGGAAAUCAGUCGUAGAGUGUAAAGGCAUAAGGAAGCUUGAUUGUGAGACCUACAAGUCGAACAAAGACGAAAGUCGGCCUUAGUGAUCCGACGGUUCCGAGUGGAAGGGCCGUCGCUCAACGGAUAAAAGUUACUCUAGGGAUAACAGGCUGA
rnacentral:rRNA from 1 species